UAUAUACAAGAAUCGACUCAAGGUGGAUUACAUAUUUAAUUGUAAGACAUGGAACUAUGAAAAUACUAGAAGGACACUAAGAAUUUAUUUCACCUGGGUGCAGGCGGGCUGAGUCUGAAAAGAGUCAGGGAAGGGAGAUAGGGGUGGGGCCAUUUUAUAGGAUUUGGGUAGGUAAAGGAAAAUUACAGUCAAAGGGGGUUGUUCUCUGGUUCGUCUAUACAGGAGCUCAAAUGGGCUGUACCUUGUAGCCUUCUGAGGACAGGCCUGAAUUCUGAGAAGGGAAAGUGGUAAAAGUAUUGUCUAGUCCUUUUUAAGUUGGUGGCUGAGCUUGGUGAGGUGUGUUUUUAAAAGACCAUUAGUCCAUUCUACCUUUCCUGAACACUGAGGACGGUAAGGGAUAUAAAGGUUUCACUGAAUAUCAAGAAAUAUGUAAUGUGUAACUAGUUAAUGGAAAUGACAUGAAAUAUUACUACUUGAAUUUCUAGAAUAGCUUUUUCUAAAAGGAUUCUUCAGUGAAAUCUUUGAAACAAAUAAAAUUAGAAGUAAAAUAUUAUUAAAAUAGUGUAAAAUAUGUCUUUUUUUAAGUGACUUUUAGGCAUAGACUCAAGGAAAUGAGAUAUUUAUUUGUAUUCAAAACUGUAGUGCGACUAUAAUUUGGUUAAAGAACUCCUAGAGGAGUAUUAGUCCAACAUAUGUUAGAAAAUAAGGGAAAGCCAUUCUUUUGAGGACUGUGAUUCAAAUGAUUUACAGUCUUGUCU
rnacentral:lncRNA from 1 species